rnacentral:rRNA from 1 species
AUGGAGCAGCACGGCAAGUCGUACCCGACCGUCGACGAGGAGCUGCGGCGCUUCGAGGUGUACCGGCGGAACGUGGAGCGCAUCGAGGCCACGAACCAACAGGUCGGGCACGGGUACACGCUCGGCGAGAACCAGUUCACCGACCUCACCAGCGAGGAGUUCCUCGCGAGGUACACCGGCCGGUUCGCUCCGCCGGAGAUGAGCCACGAUGGCGACAUGCUGAUCACGACCCGUGCCGGGGAUGUCGCCAAGGGACAGUACCCCGCGCACCGCGGCAACUUGUCCGCGGUGCCUGAGAGCGUGGACUGGAGGGCCAAGGGCGCGGUCACGCCCGUCAGACACCAAGGAGGUUGCUACGCUUCCGGGGCUUUCGCCGCGGUGGCGGCAGUGGAAGGCCUAUACCAAAUAAAAACCGGGAAGCUGGUGCCCCUGUCCGUCCAGGAGCUGGUGGACUGCGAUUCAAAGUCGUUCCAUUGCAGCCCCAGCGGCACACCCGCCGCAGCCUUCACAUAUAUCAAGAUGAACGGCGGCAUCGCGGCGGCCGCAGACUACCCGUACACCGCGCAGGAGGGCAUCUGCAACAGCCAGGCCGAGCAGGUCGCCGUCUCCGUACGCGGCUACCGCGUGCUGCCAUACAACGAGCAGAGCGAGCAGAAGCUCCUCGAGGCGGUGGCGCAGCAGCCCGUCGCCGUCGCCGUCAACCACCUCAGCUUUGAGUUCCAGAGCUACAAGGACGGGGUGUUCUCUGGCCCGUGCGCAUUCGAGGUCGACCGCUUCAACCACCAGAGCGUCACCAUCGUUAGGUACGGGGAGGACGCCGCCACCGGGAAGAAGUACUGGAUCAUAAAGAACUCGUGGGGCCAGUCAUGGGGGAUGGGCGGCUACAUGUUGAUGGAGAGGGGCAUCGCGGAUCCGCGAGGCCUCUGCGGCAUCAACUCUUACCCGGCUUAUCCUACCAUGUGA